CCUACGGGAGGCAGCAGUGGGGAAUAUUGGGCAAUGGGCGCAAGCCUGACCCAGCAACGCCGCGUGAAGGAAGAAGGCUUUCGGGUUGUAAACUUCUUUUCUCAGGGACGAAGCAAGUGACGGUACCUGAGGAAUAAGCAACGGCUAACGACGUGCAAGCAGCCGCGGUAAUACGGAGUUGGCAAGCGUUAUCCGGAUUUACUGGGUGUAAAGGGCGUGUAGGCGGGACUGCAAGUCAGAUGUGAAAACCACGGGCUCAACCUGUGGCCUGCAUUUGAAACUGUAGUGCUUGAGUACUGGAGAGGCAGACGGAAUUCCUAGUGUAGCGGUGAAAUGCGUAGAUAUUAGGAGGAACACCAGUGGCGAAGGCGGUCUGCUGGACAGCAACUGACGCUGAGGCGCGAAAGCGUGGGGAGCAAACAGGAUUAGAUACCCUUGUAGUC
rnacentral:rRNA from 1 species